rnacentral:rRNA from 1 species
AGUGAACGCUGGCGGCGUGCCUAAUACAUGCAAGUCGAACGGAGAUUAAGUAGCUUGCUAUUUAAUCUUAGUGGCGCACGGGUGAGUAAUAUAUAGCUAACUUGCCCAUUACUAAGGGACAACAGUUGGAAACGACUGCUAAUACCUUAUACUCCGUAUCUAUAUAAGUAGAUACGGGAAAGUUUUUCGGUAAUGGAUAGGGCUAUAUCGUAUCAGCUAGUUGGUAAGGUACUGGCUUACCAAGGCUAUGACGCGUAACUGGUCUGAGAGGAUGAUCAGUCACACUGGAACUGAGACACGGUCCAGACUCCUACGGGAGGCAGCAGUAGGGAAUAUUGCUCAAUGGGGGAAACCCUGAAGCAGCAACGCCGCGUGGAGGAUGACACUUUUCGGAGCGUAAACUCCUUUUCUUGGGAAAGAAUUAUGACGGUACCCAAGGAAUAAGCACCGGCUAACUCCGU